rnacentral:rRNA from 1 species
UCCCGGAUGUUAGCGGCGGACGGGUGAGUAACACGUGGGUAACCUGCCUGUAAGACUGGGAUAACUCCGGGAAACCGGAGCUAAUACCGGAUAGUUCCUUGAACCGCAUGGUUCAAGGAUGAAAGACGGUUUCGGCUGUCACUUACAGAUGGACCCGCGGCGCAUUAGCUAGUUGGUGAGGUAACGGCUCACCAAGGCGACGAUGCGUAGCCGACCUGAGAGGGUGAUCGGCCACACUGGGACUGAGACACGGCCCAGACUCCUACGGGAGGCAGCAGUAGGGAAUCUUCCGCAAUGGACGAAAGUCUGACGGAGCAACGCCGCGUGAGUGAUGAAGGUUUUCGGAUCGUAAAGCUCUGUUGUUAGGGAAGAACAAGUGCAAGAGUAACUGCUUGCACCUUGACGGUACCUAACCAGAAAGCCACGGCUAACUACGUGCCAGCAGCCGCGGUAAUACGUAGGUGGCAAGCGUUGUCCGGAAUUAUUGGGCGUAAAGGGCUCGCAGGCGGUUUCUUAAGUCUGAUGUG